rnacentral:rRNA from 1 species
UACGAAGGGGGCUAGCGUUGCUCGGAAUCACUGGGCGUAAAGCGCACGUAGGCGGAUUGCUAAGUCAGGGGUGAAAUCCUGGAGCUCAACUCCAGAACUGCCUUUGAUACUGGCGAUCUUUGAGUCCGGGAGAGGUGAGUGGAACUGCGAGUGUAGAGGUGAAAUCGUAGAUAUUCGCAAGAACACCGGUGGCGAAGGCGGUCUCUGGACG